AUGCGGCCGAGCACAACCGGCGGCAGCGAACACGUCGUUUGGGACGCUCAUGGAAUCCUGGGACUCCAAUGGCAAGACGGAAGUGCUCCUCGCACCGGACGCAGCAGAAAUCCCAUUAAUCUCGACACCAUUGGUAGACAUCUCGCCGGCGCCGGAACAGCACGGCCGCCGCUGUUAGACGAACUGAUGCAGAUUGGAAUGGAGAAGACGACCCGCUGCGUGGCUGUGGUUUAUCCCACGCCAGCCAACCCAGCCGCGCGAGGGGGUGUGCCUGACAAGAUUCUCUCACAUGUGCUGUUUCGAAGGACCUAA
rnacentral:rRNA from 1 species